rnacentral:rRNA from 1 species
UACGAGGGGGGCAAGCGUUGCUCGGAAUCACUGGGCGUAAAGCGCACGUAGGCGGCUUUCUAAGUCAGGGGUGAAAUCCUGGAGCUCAACUCCAGAACUGCCUUUGAUACUGGAGAGCUUGAGUCCGGGAGAGGUGAGUGGAACUCCGAGUGUAGAGGUGAAAUUCGUAGAUAUUCGGAAGAACACCAGUGGCGAAGGCGGCUCACUGGCCCGGUACUGACGCUGAGGUGCGAAAGCGUGGGGAGCAAACAGG